AGCUCCAAUAGCGUAUAUUAAAGUUGUUGCAGUUAAAAAGCUCGUAGUUGGAUUUGUGGUUGUCUGCUGCUGCUCUUCACUUUGUGUUGAGUUUGUGUGCAGUCGCCAUCCUUGGGUGGAUCUUGUGUGGCAUUAGGUUGUCGUGCAGGGGAUGCCCAUCGUUUACUGUGAAAAAAUUAGAGUGUUCAAAGCAGGCUUAUGCCGUUGAAUAUAUUAGCAUGGAAUAAUAAGAUAGGACCUUGGUACUAUUUUGUUGGUUUGCGCACCAAGGUAAUGAUUAAUAGGGACAGUUGGGGGUAUUCGUAUUCCAUUGUCAGAGGUGAAAUUCUUGGAUUUUUGGAAGACGAACUACUGCGAAAGCAUUUACCAAGGAUGUUUUCAUUAAUCAAGAACGAAAGUA
rnacentral:rRNA from 1 species